UACAGAGGUCUCAAGCGUUGUUCGGAUUCAUUGGGCGUAAAGGGUGCGUAGGCGGCGGGGCAAGUCAGGUGUGAAAUCCCGGAGCUCAACUCCGGAACUGCACUUGAUACUGCCUCGCUAGAGUACUGGAGAGGAGACUGGAAUUUACGGUGUAGCAGUGAAAUGCGUAGAUAUCUGGAGGAAUACCGGUGGCGAAGGCGGCAUCCUGGACCGACAUUGACGCUGAACGGCGAAAGCUAGGGGAGCAAACGGG
rnacentral:rRNA from 1 species